rnacentral:lncRNA from 13 species
AUUGACAGGCAUAAUUUUGCCUCCAACUCUAGUGGCCUCCCCUCACUACCUCUCUUGUCUCCUUGCUCUGCCCCUCCCCAGGCCGAGCACUGCUGAUGAUGGGUGAGCAUCAGUUGGAGAGGAUGGGGGUGAAGGGGGAGCACCUUCAGGACAUCCUACUGGACAUUCUUCGCCUCAGGGUCCAGGAGAAACUGGAGAACAUCAACAACAUCUUCUCUGCUCUUUCUCUUUUGAGUGUUUCUCUUCAUGACUAGGAGAAGAUGUCUCUGAUAUUCUUAUGUUCCCCAUCUACAAUAGAGAAGACAAAAGCAUUUGCUUUCAGGAAUCAUUGACCUGAAGAAAAAAGGCCAGAUUGGUUUUGGCACAGUGGUAUUUUCACGGACACUUCUGUGAAUCAAGUCCUUGCCUCUCGCUCUGUGCUGCUCUUGCAGUCUUAUUUAUUUAUUUUUUACAAUACUCAAUACAUUAUGUGGCAGUUAUUGCAGAGGGAGAAUAUAAUUCCCCAUUGAACAGGGGAUACAAUGCAUCCCUCAUCUGGACUAAAUGUUGCAAUCCCAUACCCAGCAGUGAUUUGGCUAGCUAAUGGCCUGUUAUAUUACUCUCAGGAGAUCCAGUGUGAAUUAGAAGGGAAAGUAAGUCAAUUAGUCUCGAGUUAAAUGUAGGGACACAUGGCCAUCAUUUAGAUAACAUCCCAAAUGCUGCUCCAGCCUAUUAGGUCUAUCACAUGGAAGGUAAUGGGGGAUCAUUUAAUGGGAGGUUUCCGGCAGAGACAAAAUAUCGAAUGUAUUUGAUUAUAAGUUCGAUGCUGGAGCAAAGAUGUUGUGUCUUCUGACUGACAUCGGUGUCGUCAUCUUUAUUUGUCUUUUGUUGCCCCGAACCUCAUGCUUGCUUGUAAGAUGUCGGCUGUGUUUUUCUGUCGAUCACAUACAAUCACUGACACAUCUUGGAAUGAAACACAACUAUACAUAGAAACCGUCCAGACAGAGACGUGUGUAUAGGCAGAGAUUUCCUCUUUUAUUUGGUGCCGAAUCAUAUUCAUAUUACUGUAACAGUCCAUUGUGUUAUCAUGUGUGUAUUAUAUGGGCUAGUUUAAAGUGCAUCGAGAUACUGGUUUGGCAUAUUAAGGAUGUUUUCAAGUUGAGCAAAUAAAAGUGCUACA